rnacentral:tRNA from 1 species
CCCUGUGGCUCAGUUGGUAGAGCAUGGUGUGUGCAAUGCCAGCAUGGUGUGCGCAACGCCAAGGUUGUGGGUUCGAUUCCCACAGGGG